AAUGAUGAGCCUGAAUAAAGGAAUAUCGUGAUAGGAUAAAACAUGUAGAACACCCAAUCUACCUUCAUUA
rnacentral:tRNA from 1 species